UGCGGGGUAGUGUAAUGGUAGCACGUCACGCUCUGGACGUGAAAAUUUAGGUUCGAAUCCUAACCCCGCAG
rfam:Parcubacteria bacterium GW2011_GWA2_38_27 TS88_C0002, whole genome shotgun sequence.